rnacentral:tRNA from 1 species
CAAAUUAAAGCUUAGUAAGCAUUUUAGUUACAUUAAAAAGAAUACUGUAAAUUCAGUAUAGUUUGA